rnacentral:rRNA from 1 species
GACGAAGGGGGCUAGCGUUGUUCGGAAUUACUGGGCGUAAAGCGUGCGCAGGCGGUGAUGUAAGACAGUUGUGAAAUCCCCGGGCUCAACCUGGGAACUGCAUCUGUGACUGCAUUGCUGGAGUGCGGCAGAGGGGGAUGGAAUUCCGCGUGUAGCAGUGAAAUGCGUAGAUAUGCGGAGGAACACCGAUGGCGAAGGCAAUCCCCUGGGCCUGCACUGACGCUCAUGCACGAAAGCGUGGGGAGCAAACAGG